rnacentral:rRNA from 1 species
GACAGAGGAGCCAAGCGUUGUCCGGAUUGACUGGGCGUAAAGCGCACGCAGGCGGGUGCGCGCGUGGGGUGUGAAACCUGGCCGCUUAACGGCCAGCGGCCAUCCCAUACGGCGCGCCUGGAGCCUUGCAGAGGGCGGUGGAAUUGCCGGUGUAGUGGUGAAAUUCGUAGAUAUCGGGAGGAACACCAGUGGCGAAGGCGGCGACCUGGGCCAAUAUUGACGCUGAGGUGCGAAAGCGUGGGGAGCAAACAGG